CCUGGUGGCCAUAGCGGAGGGGUCACACCUCUUCCCAUUCCGAACAGAGAAGUUAAGCCCUCCAGCGCCGAUGGUACUGCUUGGGUGACCUUGUGGGAGAGUAGGUCGCCGCCGGGA
rnacentral:rRNA from 1 species